CAUAGCACUGCUUGUUAAAUCAUCAUUAUGCCAGGCCACCCCUAGCACUGCACAUUAAAUAAUCAUUAUGCCAGGCCGCCCAUAGCACUGCACUUUAAAUAAUCAUUAUGCCAGGCCGCCCAUAGCACUGCACGUUAAAUCAUCAUUAUGCCGCCCAUAGCACUGCUUGUUAAAUCAUCAUUAUGCAAGGCUGCCCACAGCACUGCACGUUAAAUCAUCAUUAUGCCAGGCCGCCCAUAGCACUGCACGUUAAAUCAUCAUUAUGCCGCCCAUAGCACUGCUUGUUAAAUCAUCAUUAUGCC